rnacentral:sRNA from 1 species
AAUUUCUUGUUUUCAGAGAUCUCAGAUUGUCAAGCAUAUGUUAGUAU